rnacentral:rRNA from 1 species
AUGUAUAUGCAUACAAUGGUAAUGCAUCAGAUCCCAUCAUAACUCUAUAGCUAAGCACACUUGAGCUAGAGUAGUACUAGUAUGGGUGAUCUCCUGGGAAGUCGUAGUGUUUUACAUG